rnacentral:pre_miRNA from 1 species
UAUUGGGGCAGGGGUUUCUUUCGGCCUCCAGCAGAUUUUAAGGGGUUGUAGGCCGGCGGAAACUACUUGCCACCGUAU